UAUCUUUUAUUUAUAAAAAAAGAAGGAGAAGAAGAAAAGAGGCUAGAGACACUCAGGUGUCUUCAGUUGAGUUCCCUCAGGAGGUUCACUGACUCUCUCAAUGACCAACAGACCAACACCUCCAGCUAGCUCAGAAGAAGCACAUUCCCUCUCAGCUUCACACGCAGGAGGGUGGUCAAAGACAAUGGUCCCUGCAUGCCAGGACACAACAUGAAAGCCUUCUGUGGUGCUAUUUAUUGUAGCAACAAGCCCUGGCAACAGUUAGAUGCCAUGGUGAUCACAAAUAACCAAACUCCCAACAAUGAGAUGAGGGCAUUACUACUACUCAGACUUGCAGCAGGGAGAAGCAGAUGGUCCCCGUUUCAUCAUGGGCUGCAAUACAUCUAACAGGGUUGCUGCAACACAGCUGUCUUCUGAGGAGCUACAGAACAACCACGAAGCCAGAAGCCAGACUACAAGUGACAGCGCUGACAGUACAUGGGCUGCCACCUCUCAGGAGGGGACAGCUUGGACAGGGGGCACUUUAGAGAACAGAAACAAACUUGAAGUCAGCGAAGGAGAUUUCCCUGAGAAAUCAACAGAAGGGUUUACGCCUCCUGAAAAAAGAAGCAAUGCACAAAGCACAGAUGCACUGCUCACCAGUGGGUUCAUCAGUAAAUCAAGGCCUUUACAAGAAACGGAGAGACAAAAAUCAUCAGACAUUCUUGAGGAGCUGAGGAUGCAGGGAAUAAUCAGGAGCCAAAGUACUACUGCUGGGACUGGAGAAGCAUAUGAAAACAAGAGAGAUGCCCUGAAAAAGAUGCCGAAGAAACCACCAGUUAGGCUGGAAAAAAUGUGGUUUGGAAGCAAGGAAGUGAAUGAUUUCACAGCAAAGGACAUGAAGACUGCUGAAGAGAAAAAACAGGUUAGGGAAAAAGAACUAUGCAGGAGACAACAACACAGUGCAUUUUAUCCAGCAACGGACCACCAAGCUACAAGUAAAAAGACUGAAAAGGACUGCCCAAAUUUUCAAAGUCAAGAAAGCACAGAUUCCCCUCAGUCAUCACCUUUACAUGGCAAGAUAAGUGUACCGCUGCAGGAAAUAACUGCAGAAGAAACCACAAAUUAUUACACUGAGGACUUUACUAUUGAGUCUGAUACAACUUACAACUGUAUCAAUGAAACAAUCUGGAUCUAAGCCAUUCUGCAAAGAAGGAAACUCUCUGCUCCCUGUUGCUGUUUAUCUCAGGGCUUGAGAAGAUGAUUUAUCCUGAACUGAUAGUUGUGGUUACGUAUUUCACCUUGGAAAACUCUAAUUUCCACAUUUUUACAUACAAGUUGAAGGAAACAAACCAAAUAAGAAAAGAAAGAGGCAAAUUAGUGACCCGCCAGUCUCUAAGUUGGAGCACAAACAUGUGAACACGGUUCUAUUACACUUACCUCUAGAAUUCCAUUUUCCUAGAGGGCUGAGAACAGGAGUUUGGAAAGGCACUGUAAGAGUACAGAAAGACACAAAAGCAGGAGUAUGCAAGUAUGAACAGCUACAAGAUUUGGGGUAGUAAAACACAGUGGGCACCUAAACAUAAGAACAAAGAGUCUUAACUUGCUGUGCAGGCAGAGAAGUGUGAGCUUCAGAUGUUAAGGUAACAACAGGCCACAGGAACGUCUGUGUAUACAGAGCAUGUACAAAUACUGAAACUGAAGCAGAGAAAACAACUAAUUGGCUGAGAUUUGCAAAGCGCAGGUGAGUUAUCCAUAUGGACGAGAAGAAUGUGAUUGAUCUCCAUGGGAAGGAGAGGACUGUUCCCAUAUCAGAGCGAUGAAUUUGGAAUCUCCCAUGCCCUACCUCCUAUAUACAUGCAACAUCUAAUAUAUUCAGUUCUUCCAAAACCAGUGCAUAACAGCAAUGGUUGCAUUUGCACUUCACCUGUUACCAGCCCUACCAUUCCCUUCUGGUUCAUCUCUAAGUUUGCCUAAUCCUUACUUCCAUACCAAUAACGCCUACCUGCCAUGCUGGCUUUUCUAAUUCCUUACCUCCAGCUCCUGAUGACACAUUCUUCCUUUCUGCCUUCCAAGCCAAGGAAAUUCAGUUACAGUACAGGCCCACUGCUUUCUUUGCCAGGUACUAUAGGAAAGAGGAAAAACUUAACCUUUAUUUGUACAGUCUCAUUGUGGUUCUCCCUAUUACUCUCUGGAAGUUUAAAUAAAUAAAUAAUACUUGCACUAAAACA
ensembl:lncRNA stathmin domain containing 1